GACGAACGCUGGCGGCGUGCUUAACACAUGCAAGUCGAACGGAAAGGCCCUGCUUUUGUGUGGUGCUCGAGUGGCGAACGGGUGAGUAACACGUGAGUAACCUGCCCUUGACUUUGGGAUAACUUCAGGAAACUGGGGCUAAUACCGGAUAGGAGCUCCUGCUGCAUGGUGGGGGUCGGAAAGUUUCGGCGGUUGGGGAUGGACUCGCGGCUUAUCAGCUUGUUGGUGGGGGAGUGGCUUACCAAGGCUUUGACGGGUAGCCGGCCUGAGAGGGUGACCGGCCACAUUGGGACUGAGAUACGGCCCAGACUCCUACGGGAGGCAGCAGUGGGGAAUAUUGCACAAUGGGCGGAAGCCUGAUGCAGCAACGCCGCGUGCGGGAUGACGGCCUUCGGGUUGUAAACCGCUUUCGCCUGUGACGAAGCGUGAGUGACGGUAAUGGGUAAAGAAGCACCGGCUAACUACGUG
rnacentral:rRNA from 1 species